CCUACGGGAGGCUGCAGUAAGGAAUAUUGGUCAAUGGGCGCAAGUCUGAACCAGCCAUGCCGCGUGAAGGAUGAAGGCCUCUGGAUUGUAAACUUCUUUUAUGGGGGACGCGGUACCCCAGGAAUAAGCACCGGCUAACUCCGUGCCAGCAGCCGCGGUAAUACGGAGGGUGCAAGCGUUAUCCGGAUUCACUGGGUUUAAAGGGUGCGUAGGAGGGCAGGUAAGUCUGUGGUGAAAUCUCUGAGCUUAACUCGGAAACUGCCAUGGAUACUAUCUGUCUUGAAUAUGGUGGAGGUGAGCGGAAUAUGUCAUGUAGCGGUGAAAUGCUUAGAUAUGACAUAGAACACCGAUUGCGAAGGCAGCUCGCUACCCAUAUUGACUCUGAGGCACGAAAGCGUGGGGAUCAAACAGGAUUAGAUACCCGGGUAGUC
rnacentral:rRNA from 1 species